UACGUAGGGGGCGAGCGUUGUCCGGAUUUAUUGGGCGUAAAAGGCUUGUAGGUGGCCAUGCGAAGUCGGAUGUGAAAGCCCCGGGCUCAACCCGGGGAAGUGCACUCGAUACUGCGUAGCUUGAGUCUCGGAGAGGUUGGUGGAAUUCUCGGUGUAGAGGUGAAAUUCGUAGAUAUCGAGAGGAACACCGGUGGCGAAGGCGGCCAACUGGACGAAGACUGACGCUGAGACACGAAAGCGUGGGGAGCAAACAGG
rnacentral:rRNA from 1 species